rnacentral:rRNA from 1 species
CUCAGGAUGAACGCUGGCGGCGUGCCUAAUACAUGCAAGUCGAACGAGUUUUGGUCGAUGAACGGUGCUUGCACUGUUCRACUUAAAACGAGUGGCGGACGGGUGAGUAACACGUGGGUAACCUGCCCUUAAGUGGGGGAUAACAUUUGGAAACAGAUGCUAAUACCGCAUAAAUCCAAGAACCGCAUGGUUCUUGGCUGAAAGAUGGCGYAAGCUAUCGCUUUUGGAUGGACCCGCGGCGUAUUAGCUAGUUGGUGAGGUAACGGCUCACCAAGGCGAUGAUACGUAGCCGAACUGAGAGGUUGAUCGGCCACAUUGGGACUGAGACACGGCCCAAACUCCUACGGGAGGCAGCAGUAGGGAACCACAAUGGACGCAAGUCUGAUGGAGCAACGCCGCGUGAGUGAAGAAGGCUUUCGGGUCGUAAAACGUUGUUGGAGAAGAAUGGUCGGCUAACUGUUGUCGGCGUGACGGUAUCCAACCAGAAAGCCACGGCUAACUACGUGCCAGCAGCCGCGGUAAUACGUAGGUGGCAAGCGUUAUCCGGAUUUAUUGGGCGUAAAGCGAGCGCUUUUUAAGUCUGAUGUGAAAGCCCUCGGCUUAACCGAGGAAGCGCAUCGGAAACUGGGAAAUGAGUGCAGAAGAGGACAGUGGAACUCCAUGUGUAGCGGUGAAAUGCGUAGAUAUAUGGAAGAACACCAGUGGCGAAGGCGGCUGUCUGGUCUGUAACUGACGCUGAGGCUCGAAAGCAUGGGUAGCGAACAGGAUACCCUGGUAGUCCAUGCCGUAAACGAUGAAUGCUAGGUGUUGGAGGGUUUCCGCCCUUCAGUGCCGCAGCUAACGCAUUAAGCAUUCCGCCUGGGGAGUACGACCGCAAGGUUGAAACUCAAAGGAAUUGACGGGGGCCCGCACAAGCGGUGGAGUGGUUUAAUUCGAAGCAACGGAACCUUACCAGGUCUUGACAUCUUUUGAUCACCUGAGAGAUCAGGUUUCCCCUUCGGGGGCAAAAUGACAGGUGGUGCAUGGUUGUCGUCAGCUCGUGUCGUGAGAUGUUGGGUUAAGUCCCGCAACGAGCGCAACCCUUAUGACUAGUUGCCAGCAUUGAGUUGGGCACUCUAGUAAGACUGCCGGUGACAAACCGGAGGAAGGUGGGGAUGACGUCAAAUCAUCAUGCCCCUUAUGACCUGGGCUACACACGUGCUACAUGGUACAACGAGUUGCGAGACCGCGAGGUCAAGCUAAUCUCUUAAAGCCAUCAGUUCGGACUGUAGGCUGCAACUCGCCUACACGAAGUCGGAAUCGCUAGUAAUCGCGGAUCAGCACGCCGCGGUGAAUACGUUCCCGGGCCUUGUACACACCGCCCGUCACACCAUGAGAGUUUGUAACACCCGAAGCCGGUGGCGUAACCCUUUUAGGGAGCGAGCCGUCUAAGGUGGGACAAAUUAGGGUGAAGUCGUA